rnacentral:misc_RNA from 1 species
GAUGAAGAACGCAGCGAAAUGCGAUACGUAAUGUGAAUUGCAGAAUUCAGUGAAUCAUCGAAUCUUUGAACGCAUAUUGCGCUCUUUGGUAUUCCGAAGAGCAUGCUUGUUUGAGUAUCAGUAAACACCUCAAAGCUUUUGGAUUUUUUAAUCGAAAAGCUUUGGACUUGAGCAAUCCCAACACCAAUCUUUUUGAGAUCGGUGGCGGGUUGCUUGAAAUGCAGGUGCAGCUGGACAUUCUCCUGAGCUAAAAGCAUAUUCAUUUAGUCCCGUCAAACGGAUUAUUACUUUUGCUGCAGCUAACAUAAAGGGAGUUUGACCGUAUUGGCUGACUGAUGCAGGAUUUCACAAGGGUCGGCAACGAUUCUUGUUAAACUCGAUCUCAAAUUAAGUAAGACUACCCGCUGAACUUAAGCAUAUCAAUAAGCGGAGGA